UUUUUUUUCUCCCGGGACGUCGAGGCAGCCCAGGUACUGGAGAGAAGGAAAAUCUUCCUUCAGGACUGGACCAAGGUAUGGAAUAUGCACACCCAAGAACUGGGGACUGAUGCUUACUCCCUUCCACCUCAGGUCUCAAUCCCUCUUCUGACUUGCUGAUACAAGAAUCUCAUGCCCAUCACCAAAACAAAGUCAGGAGCUUUUCUGUUACAAGUGAGAACAACAAGAAUUAGCUCUCUCAGCACUUCAACAAGCGGAGAUUUUUGUCUGUAAUGAGGAGAAUGAGACUGGUUUGACAUAAACUACAAAACAACGCGGCAAAGAUGAAGAAGGAGGGCAGAAAUACAUUACUGAAGAGGUGCCAUUAAAUUACCAGCCAGACAUUAAUAUACAGUACACAAGGGACCUUGUAUAUAAGCAAUGAUUAUUACUGUGUGACUCAGAUGGAGCUCGCUGUGCACCCAGAGAGCUGCUGGACGGGAGGUGAAGAGGGAAUACCUGUCUGGAUGGAGACUGGUGCUGCUUAGGCAGUGCUGGAUGUGCCACUGGGUUGGGUGUUUAGAGGAAAAAUUUUCCCAGAGCAGGAGCAUGACAAGGGGACAGUGGUCUGUCGUGGUAGAAACACCUCUGCUUUGUUUCACAAAAUAACAGAAGGCAAGCACGUGGUGUGGAUGAUCCUGGAGCUAAAGGUACUAAGCCAUUUUAAGCCAACUAUUACUCUGGACCCCCUUAAAAAAGGAGUCUUCUUCCCCCACCCAGCAUCUCCUUCAGCUGCUGAUUCCGGCUGUGCAGGGAUGCUGGAAAUGGUUAAUUCCAAACAUGGCUUUCCUUCCAUGCCACUGUCUCCAGAGCGAGAACAACACCUACAGAAAGCAAAGACUGCAAGAACGAGCUGGAGUUAAGCGUGGGCUGUGGACACCACACUGGAUAAUCUCCAAGUAACAGGGUGGAGAGGUAAAAUCAUGUCUUGUGAUUGCCUCCUUCCACAGGCAGGUACAACUUCAAAUGCAGGAGUGUUGUAAGUUCAUCUAGAAGGAAGAAAUUCAAAAUCCCUCCAGCUCCUGAAAAAAUGUAUGCCAAUUAAUUCUGAAUUGGGAUUUUCCUUUACAUUUGAUCUACUUAAGAAUGCACCACAAGGAGAGCUUCCUAUGAGGAAAGCUUAGAAAUGCUCUCAGGGAAAAGGCACCAUCGUAACUCUCCCACUUCCUAAAGGGAUCGGGGUAGAGCUCUGCUUAAUGCACAUCCUCUAAAGGAAAUAUAAGCCUUGCCUAAAACAGCCUCUUUAGGUUCUGCUGAAAAAAACCCCAACCAGAUGAUCCCUCCCCGUCUCUGCUCUGUUUUUAACUUCCCUACUGCG